rnacentral:rRNA from 1 species
GACGAACGCUGGCGGCGUGCUUAACACAUGCGAGUCGAACGGAAAGGCCCUGCUUUUGUGGGGUGCUCGAGUGGCGAACGGGUGAGUAACACGUGAGUAACCUGCCCUUGACUUUGGGAUAACUUCAGGAAACUGGGGCUAAUACCGGAUAGGAGCUCCUGCUGCAUGGUGGGGGUUGGAAAGUUUCGGCGGUUGGGGAUGGACUCGCGGCUUAUCAGCUUGUUGGUGGGGUAGUGGCUUACCAAGGCUUUGACGGGUAGCCGGCCUGAGAGGGUAACCGGCCACAUUGGGACUGAGAUACGGCCCAGACUCCUACGGGAGGCAGCAGUGGGGAAUAUUGCACAAUGGGCGGAAGCCUGAUGCAGCAACGCCGCGUGCGGGAUGACGGCCUUCGGGUUGUAAACCGCUUUCGCCUGUGACGAAGCGUGAGUGACGGUAAUGGGUAAAGAAGCACCGGCUAACUACGUG